CCCACAUCAGAUUUGUGGGUUGUGCUGCUGCAUAAUGUUAGAGGUGUAAUUUUCCCUCCCUGCCACUAGGAGGCGAGUAUGCCUUGAGAUGACUUUCUGUUAGUUAACAUUUCCUGUUGUGAAAGCCAUUACUCACGAGGCAACCGCCAAAUUAGCUGAAAGAUCCUGGAUCUGAAAUCUGUGAAAUACGGCCGUGGGAAGCUGCGUCAGCCUGGCGAGCUAUCUCACCACGAGCUCCGAUUGGUUUUUGACCAGGACUGGAUCAUUUGAGAUCUGAACCCUGUGGGUUCAGUGGCGAGCCAAUCCCAAGAGAGUGACUGUAGACGGACCAGAGUACGGUGUGGCCAGCCGUGGGAUCCAUCUUCAGCGAACCUCAGGACUAUCACUACAUCCCUUGACACAGAUAAGACUGACACUUUAAAAAUCUACCCGGGUAGUGUUAGAACCAGUGGACAGAAACACACACACACAAGGAACUCUAAUUUCUCUUUCCAAAGAGAAGUGGACUGAGCAACAGGAGCGGAAGCUCUUUAAUUGAAACUCUUUGGAGAACUUCCUUAAAGAGGAUAUUUGGUUUUGAUUUUAUUUUGGGUCCUUUAAUGUGCGUUUGUGCACUGUAGGAAGCCGGCUUUAGACAGGCAGGGUUUGUAAACUUACAACUUUUCAAUACAGUCUCUAUUUAAACCAUAUCUUAUCUGUCCUUGUGUGGUUCCUUCUCUGCUGAUCCUUUCAAGGCUCCAUAGUCGUACUUAGAACCUUCUGAUACUAGUCCAAAGUUGUCAAGACAAUAAUUUAAUACCUAUCUCAUAUUAUUUAAUUGUAAUACCUGUUACAAAAGUGGCGAGCCAGCCAGGAGCCUAGUUAAGUGUCAGCAGUGAAACAUAUCUCAUGUUUGGGGAAUUGUAUGAAAAAAAAAGUUGUUAAAUGUUUUAGAGUCGUUGCCAAAGAUGGAGUUCAUAGCUAACUCAGGUAUCAAAGUCCCAAAUGCAGUGAUUGUGAGUGGGUUGCUUGGAUCGCCAGAAGAUGAGGAGAUUAUAGACUUUCUGAAGAAAUAUGGUUCUUUUAGGCUUGUUCCAGUAACUGAUGCUGAAUCAGAGUUUUAUAAAAACCUGAUUAUUGAGUAUCAAGAUGGUGCCGCCAUUGAAACCUUAUCUCCUCUUUUGCCUUACACACAUGAACUCAAAGAGAACCCAAGUGUCAGGUAUCUCGUUCAAGCUUUGGCUAGCAUUUACACUACAAAGGUUGGCUGCAAUGUUACCAAAACCUACCUCAAUGAGAUAAAGAAAUUGGCAAAAUUAAGUGGGAAAGACUACGAGGAAGUGCUGAGAGACAUGAUGUCAGAGAUCAGUGAGGCAAUUGGAACAGACAGCAUUGAUGAGGCACCUGUAGCCAAACCGUUCGACACAUCUCUUGAAACAGUUGAAACCUCAGAUCACCGGCUGUUCAGAAGUCCCUCCUUGAUGGAUUCCGGUCAAGAUUGCCCCGAACCAAAGCCACCCACCAUCCUGAGGCAAAACCUACUCAUCAGGGAGAGUGACCUACACCCACCUGAAGUUCAAAAGGUCAUCGUUGAACACAUUGUAAGGAAAAGUGACUGUAACACAUAUCCACAUUUUCCCAUCAAGCUUCACCCAUUUUCAGGCAAAACCCCAAGGCCCAGUAAUGAGACCGACUACGACACAUGGCGAUCACAUGCUGAGCUUCUCAGGAAAGAUUCCACUCUGUCCAAUCUUCAGAAGUCUCGAAAAAUGGUUGAGAGCUUGCUUUCCCCUGCAGCAGAUAUUGUCAAAAGGCUAAGUCCUGAAGCUACCCCUGAAACUUACCUUCAACUGCUGGAUGCAGCCUUUGGAACUGUUGAAGAUGGCGAGGAACUUUUCGCCCAGUUUAUGAACACUCUUCAGGACCCUGGUGAAAAGGCUUCGUCCUACCUCUGCCGCCUCCAGGCUGUUCUAAACCUUGCUGUUAAGAGGGGAAGAAUUGCUGCUGAAGAAGCAGACAAACAUAUUCUCAAGCAAUUCUGCCGCGGUUGUUGGGACAACAUCUUGCUCUCUGACCUCAACCUAGAAGAAAAGAAAAGUCACCCUCCAGCAUUUGCAGAGCUCCUGUUACAGAUCCGUACUGAAGAGGAUAGACAUGCAGCCAAAGUCACACGCAUGAAGAAGCACCUCGGCUCAAAUCGACAGCGGGCCGUUACUAGCUCGCAAAGCACAUGUGCCUGUAGCCAGCAAGUAGUGAUCCCACCCGAGUCCAACACAUUGGCGGAACUCAAACAGCAGGUCGCAUCUCUUCAGAGCCAGCUUACCGCACUGAUGUCAAAGAAACCCAAAAGACCUCGAAACCCAAGGGGAGCGCUGAGCACACAUCCAGCCGACCAGUACCACCUAAACUUAACCCUAGAGCACCAAGCUGGAAGCCAUCCAACCCAAAACAGAACGCAAGGCCGAAGGCCUGGUUCACAAGUGACUACGGUUACCAAGUCCUUCUUUGAUCAACAUCUGUUUGAAACACAGAUAGAGCCACUGUAUGAUCUAUUGGAAGUUGAAGGUGCCAAUGGGUUACCUGUACCUUAUUUGGGCUACAUUAAAAUCACCAUCACCUUUCCAGAACAAUUCUUGGGGAAGGAGUGUGAUGUCCCAACCUUGGCCUUAGUGGUCCCAGACAGUGGAACAUCUGGCUUUCAUGUACUGAUUGGUACUAACACCCUUGAUGUGGCAUAUAACAUGCACAAAGAGAAAGGUCCAGUGAUCCACCACACUUCAGCAGAUGGCUACAAGACUGUGCUGAAAGUAUUACAGCUGCGACAUGAACAAUGUCACGACAGUAACAUUGGAGUGGUGAGGAUGCAUGGGAAAGAAACGAAGGUUGUUCUGGCUGGAGAAACUGUUGUAUUAGAGGGAACCGUAGCAGUCAAGGGAUUCCAGUCGGAGAAGUGUGCCAUCGUGGAGUACCCUACAUCAUCUUUGCCUGGAGGACUUCUAGUAAAGACCUGCCUCCUCAACAUACCAACCAGAUCCCCAUGCAGGCUACCAGUCGUGAUUUCUAAUGCGUCUGAGCACGACAUCACUAUUCCGGCCAAGAGCGUGAUUGCUGAGCUCAAUGCAAUCCAGGCUAUUCUACCGCACAAACAGAGUGCGACGGAGGGUCAGGAGCCAACCAAGCUACCUGGAUCCAAGUCCCCUGAUCAAUCUAAGCUUGUCUUUGACUUUGGGGAAUCUCAAAUUUCUCCGGAGUGGAGAGACAGAAUUGUGGAAAAGCUGAAUGGCAUGCCUGAAGUCUUUGCCAUGAAUGAUAUUGACUUUGGGAGGACAGAUAAAGUAAAGCAUCACAUCAAGCUGUCUGACCAAACACCAUUCAAGCACAGGGCCCGGCCAAUCCACCCAAACGAUGUGGAAGCUGUCAGAAAACAUCUUCAAGAACUUCUUGAUGCUGGAGUGAUUCGUGAGAGCGAGUCUCCAUUUUCAUCUCCCAUUGUUGUGGUCAGGAAGAAAAAUGGUCAAGUUCGCCUCUGUAUUGAUUACAGGAAGUUGAACCUGCAGACAGUGAAGGACGCGUACGCACUCCCAAGGAUGGACGACACUUUUGCAGCACUCUCUGGUUCCAGGUGGUUCAGUGUUCUCGACCUCAAGUCUGGUUAUUACCAGAUUGAGGUUGAUGAAGCUGAUAAGCCCAAGACUGCCUUUGUCUGCCCGCUUGGUUUCUGGGAGUUUAAUCGCAUGCCCCAAGGAGUGACGAAUGCCCCAAGUACCUUCCAGAGGCUGAUGGAGAAGUGCAUGGGUGACAUGAACCUGAAGGAGGUUGUAGUUUUUCUGGAUGACCUGAUAGUCUUCUCGAGGACUUUAGAAGAACACGAAGCCAGACUCAUCAAGGUCCUCAACCGGUUGAAGGAGUACGGGCUGAAGCUGUCUCCAGAAAAAUGCAAGUUCUUCCAGUCUUCGGUUCGUUAUCUGGGGCAUGUGGUAUCGGAGCGGGGAGUGGAAACAGACCCAGAGAAAAUAGCAGCGUUAAAGACCUGGCCAGUUCCUCAACGCCUAAAAGAGCUGAGAGCCUUCCUGGGAUUCUGCGGGUACUAUAGGAAGUUCAUCAAAGGCUAUUCAAACAUAGUAAAGCCUCUGAAUGAUCUGACAUCGGGGUACCCACCUGUUCAGAAGCAUUCCAAGUCAAAAGACAAGAGUGGGCAGUACUACCACCCAAAAGAACCAUUUCUGGACCGUUGGACACCUGCCUGCCAGCAGAUCCCACGUUGCCCUACAUCCUACACACGGAUGCAGCUCCACCGGCCUCGGAGCGGCCUUGUAUCAGGAGCAGGGGGGCAGCUGCGUGUUGUGGCCUACGCUAGCAGAGGGCUAUCACGUAGUGAAUCCCGCUACCCGGCUCACAAGCUCGAGUUCCUGGCAUUGAAGUGGUCUGUGACGGAGAAGUUCAGUGACUAUCUGUAUGGCAAUCAGUUUACGGUGGUCACUGACAGCAAUCCUCUCACUUACAUACUUACUUCUGCCAAACUCGAUGCAACCAGCUAUAGGUGGCUGGCUGCACUCUCCACCUUCUCUUUUAAGCUCCAGUACCGCCCUGGGAAACAAAAUGGAGAUGCUGACGCAUUGUCGCGACGCCCUCACGGCAAUCUGCGUGACGACCUACCAUCUCAGAAAGAGUGGGACAGGAUACGUCGUUUCACUCAACAUCACCUAUCUGACCCAGGAGACAUUGAAGUGGUUAAUCCAGAGGUCGUUCAAGCCAUUUGUGAGAGACAACUUAUCUAUUGCGCCGACAAUGCAAUGGACUGUGAUGGUAGUAUCUCCCUGGUUGAAAGCCUGGCCAUUUCUGCAGAUGCGGUGCCUGACAGUUUUGGACAUGAGGACGGGCUUGGAGGACUACCCAUCAUCCCAAACCUUUCAGAAGAGGACCUCAGAGACAAGCAACGAGCUGAUCAGUGCAUUAAGCAUGUCAUUUCCCAGAUUGAGCAUGGAGUGAAACCACCACCCAGUCUAAGGACUGAGCUUCCAGAUCUGCCUCUCUUGUUGAGAGAAUUGAACAAGUUUGAGCUCCGAAAUGGCAUCCUCUAUAGAACACGCCUAGAAGAGGGACACCCACAACAUCAGUUAGUCUUGCCUGAAGAACUUCGAGACGUGGUUCUGAGAAGCCUGCACGACGACAUGGGUCACACGGGAAAGGAACGCACCGUGGAUCUUGUCAGAGCCAGAUUCUACUGGCCAAGAAUGGCUUCGGACAUUGAGAAGAAAAUAAGAACGUGUACCAGGUGUGUGUGCAGGAAAGCUCUACCUGAGAGAGCUGCACCUCUGGUGAAUAUAACGACGACGCGACCACUCGAAUUAGUAUGCAUGGACUUUUUGUCUGUCGAACCGGACAGAAGCAACACAAAGGACAUCCUCGUGAUCACUGAUCACUUCACCAAGUAUGCUGUAGCUGGACCGACACAAAAUCAAAAGGCUCGAACAGUUGCAAAGUGGUUGUGGGACAAUUUCAUCAUCCAUUAUGGAUUCCCAGAGAAACUGCACAGUGACCAAGGUCCUGAUUUUGAGUCGCGGUUGAUCAAGGAACUCUGUCAGAUUGCGGGCAUCCGUAAAACGCGAACAACACCAUACCACCCAAGGGGCAACCCGGUGGAACGCUUCAACCGCACUCUAUUAGACAUGCUUGGCACUCUGGGAAGUCAAGAAAAAUCCCACUGGAAGGACUUUGUAAAGCCAUUGGUCCACGCGUACAACUGUACCAAGAGUGAGGUGACUGGGUUCACACCAUAUGAACUAAUGUUUGGACGCCAGCCAAGGUUGCCUGUCGACCUUGCAUUUGGGUUACCAGUGAAAGAACAGCGACACAAGUCACAUUCCCAAUACGUACAGGACCUUAAAUCUCGUCUUGAGCAGAGCUACGAAGUUGCCACAAGGACUGCUGCCAAGGUAGCUGAGAGGAAUAAGAUUCGGUUUGAUAAGCGAGUGAGUCCUUCUGCUUUAGGCGUUGGCGACAGAGUGCUCGUCAGAAACGUGCGUAUUCGAGGAAAGCACAAGCUCGCUGAUAAGUGGGAGUCCACAGUCCAUGUAGUAGUGAAGAAAGCUGGAGACCUCCCAGUCUAUACAGUUAGACCAGAGAACGGCGAGGGUCCCAAGCGCACGCUGCAUCGUGACCUAUUACUCCCAUGCGGAUUUCUUGCUGCACCAACGGAGGAGAGUGCUCAGCCCAAACGAGCUAGAAAGCCUAGGACACGUCAGAAUACUCCCAACAGCACAACGGAGCUUGACCAGUCUUCAGAUGAGGAGGACAUUGUUCCCAUUGCUUGGUUCGAAAUACAACCACUCUCUGAGACGACUGGGGGUGCUGCAACGCAAAAUGCCCCAAGAGACCUAGGUUCUAGUCACGGCAAGAAUAACCUGACAUCAGUCUCCGCCGAGUCAACGGAUGUUCCAGAAGUUGCCAAUGUUAUGCCUGAUGUCACAUCAAUUUACCAUGAAACAGAUCAAUGUGGCGAUGAGCAGACUCCAGAUGAUGGUCAGACCUCACCUCCUGCUGCGGACGUACCAGCACCUGAACUCCAUGAAUCUGUGGGGGAAGCCAAGAUGGAUGAUAGUGCAUCCACUGAAUCUGAGGGACACAGGAUGCCGCUGGAUAGCAGUUCAGGGGAAGAGGAGUUGCUUAACGAGGUCAAGGACUUAAGUGAGGGCCAACCUAAAGAAAUCCCAGUCCUCCCGGACAGGUUGGAGGAUGUGAUGAAUGAUCCUGGAACUGGAGGACAGGAGGAGAGUGGUGAAGUAGAGGAACGUGCUGACACUGAUAUCCAUGUCAGGAGGUCUGAGCGGGAUCGUCAACCACCAAUGAGGCUCGACUACACUGAAUUGGGGAAACCAAUUGUCACCGUGGUAAAGUCUUUCUUCCAAGGGUUGACCGAUGUGUGGAAUGACAUGGUAAAUGAAGGUGAAGCACCUGCUUCUCCUCUUGCCUUUCCCCCCAAGAAACAUUUGUGUGAACCUUGUCAUGCACAGGGACGUGCAAGAGUUCAGGAGGGGAGAGUGUAACCCACAUCAGAUUUGUGGGUUGUGCUGCUGCAUAAUGUUAGAGGUGUAAUUUUCCCUCCCUGCCACUAGGAGGCGAGUAUGCCUUGAGAUGACUUUCUGUUAGUUAACAUUUCCUGUUGUGAAAGCCAUUACUCACGAGGCAACCGCCAAAUUAGCUGAAAGAUCCUGGAUCUGAAAUCUGUGAAAUACGGCCGUGGGAAGCUGCGUCAGCCUGGCGAGCUAUCUCACCACGAGCUCCGAUUGGUUUUUGACCAGGACUGGAUCAUUUGAGAUCUGAACCCUGUGGGUUCAGUGGCGAGCCAAUCCCAAGAGAGUGACUGUAGACGGACCAGAGUACGGUGUGGCCAGCCGUGGGAUCCAUCUUCAGCGAACCUCAGGACUAUCACUACAUCCCUUGACACAGAUAAGACUGACACUUUAAAAAUCUACCCGGGUAGUGUUAGAACCAGUGGACAGAAACACACACACACAAGGAACUCUAAUUUCUCUUUCCAAAGAGAAGUGGACUGAGCAACAGGAGCGGAAGCUCUUUAAUUGAAACUCUUUGGAGAACUUCCUUAAAGAGGAUAUUUGGUUUUGAUUUAAUUUUGGGUCCUUUAAUGUGCGUUUGUGCACUGUAGGAAGCCGGCUUUAGACAGGCAGGGUUUGUAAACUUACAACUUUUCAAUACAGUCUCUAUUUAAACCAUAUCUUAUCUGUCCUUGUGUGGUUCCUUCUCUGCUGAUCCUUUCAAGGCUCCAUAGUCGUACUUAGAACCUUCUGAUACUAGUCCAAAGUUGUCAAGACAAUAAUUUAAUACCUAUCUCAUAUUAUUUAAUUGUAAUACCUG